rnacentral:rRNA from 1 species
CCUACGGGAGGCAGCAGUGAGGAAUUUUCCGCAAUGGGCGAAAGCCUGACGGAGCAAUACCGCGUGAGGGAUGAAGGAUUUUGGUCUGUAAACCUCUUUUCUCAAGAAAGAAGUUCUGACGGUACUUGAGGAAUAAGCAUCGGCUAACUCCGUGCCAGCAGCCGCGGUAAUACGGGGGAUGCAAGCGUUAUCCGGAAUGAUUGGGCGUAAAGCGCCUGUAGGUUGUUUAUUAAGUCCGUUGUUAAAGCCUAGGGCUCAACCCUAGAAAAGCAAUGGAAACUAGUAGACUAGAGUAUGGCAGGGGUAGAGGGAAUUUCUAGUGUAGCGGUGAAAUGCGUAGAUAUUAGAAAGAACACCGGUGGCGAAAGCGCUCUACUGGACCAUUACUGACACUCAGAGGCGAAAGCUAGGGUAGCAAAAGGGAUUAGAUACCCCUGUAGUCCUAGCCGUAAACGAUGGAUACUAGAUGUUGUGCAUUAUGUACAGUAUCGUAGCUAACGCGUUAAGUAUCCCGCCUGGGGAGUACGCUCGCAAGGGUGAAACUCAAGGAAUUGACGG